rnacentral:misc_RNA from 1 species
GAUGAAGAACGUAUCGAAAUGCGAUAAGUAAUGUGAAUUGCAGAAUUCAGUGAAUCAUCGAAUCUUUGAACGCAUCUUGCGCUCCUUGGUAUUCUGAGGAGCAUGCCUGUUUGAGUGUCAUUAAAUUCUCAACUACACUGACUUUGAAUUGGUGUGGCUUGGAUUUGGGGGGAAAAUUGUUGUGGGCUUUUUGUAUAGUCUGCUCCCCUGAAAUUGAUUAGCGGUACCUUUGUGGAACUGUCUACAGGUGUGAUAAUUAUCUACAUCUUAGACAUCUGCUGGAAUGCUGCUUUCUAAACCUUACUUGUAUUGACUAUCUUGACCUCAAAUCAGGUAGGACUACCCGCUGAACUUAAGCAUAUCAAUAAGCGGAGGA